rnacentral:rRNA from 1 species
AUUGAACGCUGGCGGCAGGCCUAACACAUGCAAGUCGAGCGGAUGAAGGGAGCUUGCUCCUGGAUUCAGCGGCGGACGGGUGAGUAAUGCCUAGGAAUCUGCCUGGUAGUGGGGGAUAACGUCCGGAAACGGGCGCUAAUACCGCAUACGUCCUGAGGGAGAAAGUGGGGGAUCUUCGAACCUCACGCUAUCAGAUAAGCCUAGGUCGGAUUAGCUAGUUGGUGGGGUAAAGGCCUACCAAGGCGACGAUCCGUAACUGGUCUGAGAGGAUGAUCUGUCACACUGGAACUGAGACACGGUCCAGACUCCUACGGGAGGCAGCAGUGGGGAAUAUUGGACAAUGGGCGAAAGCCUGAUCCAGCCAUGCCGCGUGUGUGAAGAAGGUCUUCGGAUUGUAAAGCACUUUAAGUUGGGAGGAAGGGCAGUAAGUUAAUACCUUGCUGUUUUGACGUUACCAACAGAAUAAGCACCGGCUAACUUCGUG